UUUUAUGUUGAUUAUAAAAUUAGUUUCCUAGUCAUAGGCCAGUGACAAUGAAACUUUGGAAUAGUCAUGACGCAGGGGCUUUGACUUAGAUAAUAAAAUUUAUAUCUUUCCUAAAGAGUAAUAUAGUGACUAAGAGAUCUGUAAUGUAAUUCAAGGUCAGGUGAUAUUCUGUAGGAAGGCAGACUAUCAGAGGCAGAAUUAAAAUGGCCCCUGGUAGGUGUUCUCAGAUUUGUUUUGCUAGCAUAACUGUGACAUGGCCUAUGUCCUCAUAUGCCAAAUUAAACUUGGGCGAUAGCCGGCAAGGGGAUAGGAAUUGCCAAGUUUAUUUUAUUCAACUUAUCACAUGCUGACCCCUGUGCAGUUUACUGGUGCGUCUUUGGUUUGCUUGGUCCUGGUUUUUCUUCAACUGAUUGUUGUCAUUAUGAUCCCUGGCCCUUGGAGAGAGAUGAUUUUUUAGGAGACUGCUGCUCAUUGCUAAGCCAUGAUCCUUUAUUAACCUUUUCAUCAUGAUGAAGUAAGAGUUUUUAGAUCCAUUAUUGCUAGCAUUGCUGUCUAAAGGACUUCUUUUUGUUUUUCAGUAGGGUCUUCAGUCUUAGUUGACUCUGUUGAGGUUAGCAGAUCCCCACUUUACAGGCUAAUGUAGUGAAUGCAUUCUUGAGUUUAGAUGACAUUAGAAUGGAGUAAAGUUUUGUCUGUCACCAUCUGACAUGGCUCUGUGACUCUCAUCAGCAUCCUAGUGCAGGAACAUCAUGGAACCCUUUUCCUUCUUUAGAUACUUAACUUUGGACUCCCUGACAACCUCACGGGGCUUCCAGUAUUUACUGAUGCUUUUGAGUCACCCUCCCUUUCAUAUGAAAGGGUUGUAUACUUUUUGGAAACCUCAGUGAUCUCUUAGCACCCUUUCUUUGCAAGCACUUAGAGUUGUUUUGUAGUUUUCAUAUGUUAAAGAUCUGCUAUUUUGCAACUUCUGUCAAGGAGAGCCAUAGCUCAAAUCUAGUUCCCGUUUGUACUAGAGGGACUAGAGUCCCUUUCAAGUAUUAAAGAGACUUGAAAAUAUAGGGGGAAUGGAGAGGUGCCUUCUAUAGGCCUUACUGUUAUGAUUUUAAAAUAAUAUUGUUAAAUACAGGCCGGGCAUCGUGGCUCACACCUGUAAUCCCAGCACUUUGGGAGGCUGAGGCGGGCAGAUCACUUCAGGUCAGGAAUUUAAGACCAGCCUGGCCAACAUGGCAAAACCUUGUCUCUACUAAAAGUACAAAAAUAUGGCAAAACCUUGUCUCUACUAAAAGUACAAAAAUUAGCCAGGCAUGAUGGUGCACGCCUGUAAUCCCAGCUAUUCAGGAGAAUCGCUUGAACCCGGGAAGCGGAGGUUGCAGUGAGCUGAGGUCGCGCCACUGCACUCCAGCCUGGGCGACUGAGCAAGACUGUGUCUCAAAAAAAAAAAAAAAAAAAAAAAAACCAAAUUGUUAAAUACAAGGUGUUACUUUCAAAGUUACCACUUGGUGUGCAAAGUGGGUUCUUUGAAGAUGCCACCUGUUGCUCACCAGGCUGCAGAUGAAUUUCUUAACAUCUCAGGUGUAGAUUCAGGGAUAGAUUUUACUAGGAAAGGGGGAGUUUUCAAAGCAAGAGAAGAGCCCGUGGAGAGGUGUAUUGAGGUGUCUCUGCUGGAAUGACUCCCAUCACCCCCCUCCUCCAAUGCUGUCUUUUUUAUCAGGCACCUAUGAGAGUAGCUUUGCUAGUGGAGAGAUAGGCAGAAUGCUUAGACACCACGAAAUCUGUAUUUGUGUGCCAGCUGCUUAUAGGUGUUGUCUGGGGGCCGGGCGCGGUGGCUGACGCCUGUAAUCGCAGCACUUUGGGAGGCCUGAGGUCGGGAGUUCGAGACCAGCCUGACCAACAUGGAGAAACCCCAUCUCUACUAAAAAUGCAAAAUUAGCCGGGCGUGGUGGCGCAUGCCUAUAAUUCCAGCUACUCAGGAGGCUGAGACAGGAGAAUCACUUGAACCCAGGAGGCAGAGGUUGCAGGGAGCCGAGAUCAUGCCAUUGCACUUCAGCCUGGGCAACAAGAGCAAAACUCCAUCUCAAAAAAAAAAAAGGAAGUUGUCUGGGAAUGCCAGCUGCCCAACACCUGGAAACUUAGGGACCUGUGGGAUAAUACACACCUGGAGAAGACAGCUGCAGGUCCUGUGGGAAGUUGUGCUUGGGUGCAGCCCCUCUCACUGGGAAAAGGGAUAGCCUCCCAACCCCCUAGUCUACGCUAGUUCAUUGUCUAGGCAACCUGGAGUAUACCUCCAUGGUGACUUUUUUUUUUUUUGAGACGGAGUCUCACUGUGUUGCCCAGGCUGGAGUGCAGUUGUGUGAUCUCGGCUCACUGCACCCUCUGCCUCCCGUGUUCAAGUGAUUUUCCUGUCUCAGCCUCCUGAGUAGCCGGGACUACAGGUGCCUGCCACCAUGCCCGGCUAAUUUUUGUAUUUUUAGUAGAGACAGGGUUUCACCAUAUCUGUCAGGGUGGUCUCCAACUCCUGACCUCAGGUGAUCCACCCACCUUAGUCUCCCAAAGUGCUAGAAUUACAGGCAUGAGUGAGCCACCGCGCCCAGCCUCCAAGGUAACUUUGUAAGUCAACAUUUGUUGUUUUGUGUUUUACCUUCUUUGCUCUGUGUUAUUUGUAAGAAUCACCCAUUUUGUUACAUGUAGCCUUAGGUAGUUUAAUUUCAUUGCUGCAUAGGAUUUCAUUAUAUGAAUUUAUCCAUUCUAUGACUGAUGGAAUUAGAUUGUUUUGAGUUUGGAGCUUUUAUGAAAUAUGUUGUCAUGAAUAUUCUUGAAAAUGGAUGCUAUUGUACAUUUUUGCACAUUUUCUUGAAACAUCUAUUUCUCUUAACAGUGCAAUUCCUGGGUCAUAGGUGAGGCCUCUAGAAGGAAGAAACAGGGGAAGCACAAAAGCACCAGCAGGCCUGCAGCACUGGCAAAAGAAGUCUGAGGCUCAAGGCCUCUGCACUGUAGGCCAUAGUGUCUGCCACUUUGUUAGAUAAUGCCAAACUUUCCAGAGUGAUUGUAUCCAUUUAUACUUCUACCAGUGGGGGGUGAGUGUUCCCCGUGCUCUGUAUGCUCACCAAAGGUUUAUAUUCUCAGUGUGGUAAUCAUUAGAACUGUUAACUAAAUAUUUACAGUUCUUUCCCCUUCAGGACACAUGGUAAAAUUAUACUAAUAUGCCCUCCUGAAGUUAGGUGUAGCCACGUGACUUGCUUUAGCCAACGAAGUGUGAGUGGAAGUGCCAUGUGUCACUUCUAGGCAAAACUUAGGCGCCAGUGCUAAUAUAUAUAAUAGUGGAAUAUAUAUAUAUAUAUUCUAUUUGUGGAAGCAUGGACACACAGCCUCCCAGGGCCUGGGUUCCUAACUGAGGUUGAGGUAGAGCAGUGCCGCCAAGUGGACCCACAGUGGAUGUGUGCAUAGUAUGAGAGAAAUAAACUCGUUACUUUAAGCCAUGAAAUGUUAAAAUUGUUACUGUGGCUUAACCAAGCCUGUCCUGACUGACGGAUAUAGAACUUAAUUUUUAUCGAGCUAGUAGGUAUGUACUGGCAUUUCAUUGUCAUUCUAAUUGCAUUUCUCAUGAAGAUGAGCAUCUUUUCUUGUUUAUUGGCUAUUAGGAGGUCCUCUCUAGUGAAAUGUUUAUUCAGGGUGUUCUUUCUUCUGUGAGGUUGUCUGCCUGUGUUUUAAAAAUGUAUUUGUAAGGGCCGGGCACAGUGGCUAAUGCCUAUAAUCCCAGCACUUUGGGAGGCCGAGGCGAGCGGAUCAACUUAGGUCAGGAGUUUGAGAACAGCCUGGACAACAUGCUGAAACCUUGUCUCUACUAAAAAUACAAAAAUUAGCUGGGCGUGGUGGUGUGCCUGUAGUCCCAGCUACUUGAGAGGCUGAGGCAGGAGAAUCACUUGAACCCGGCAGCUGAGAUCACACCACUGCACUCCAACCUGGGUGACAGAGCGAGACUCCGUCUCAAAAAAAAAAAAAAGAAUGUGUUGGUAGAAGUAGUAUUGAAUAGAAGUAGUGACAGUGGGCAUCUGCUCUGAUUCCUGGUUUCAAAGGGAAGCUUUCAUCCUGUCAUCAUGAAGUAGAGUAUUUGCUAUAGGUUUUUUUGGUAAAGAUUAUCAGGUUAAGGAUGUUUCUUCCUUUCUCUUCCUACUAAGGAUUUUUAAUCAUAAAAGGAUGUUAAAAUUUAUCAAAAGCUUUUUUUCCAGUUCCUGAGGUAAUCAUGAUUUUUUUGCAUCAUCAUUCUAAUACUGCUUUGUAAACAUCUGUAAGGAUGCCUGCUAAAGCAGUAAAGUAAUUCCAGUUCCAGCCGUUUUAUUGGACGUGGCUUUUAGAAGGAAAUAAAAGGCCAUAAAAAUGUUCUUCCUCAUAUGUCUUAUCUUCAGAUAAGUUCCAUAAAGUAUUUUGCUGCCACUGCAAAUUUCUUUUACAGUUUAUGAAACUGUGUAUUUUUGUUGUUCAUGCGGUAUUAGGAAAUAACUGUUCAUGUCUCCUGAGAUUUUUGAAAACGAGUGAUGCAAGGAAUCAGAAUCCUACCCUAUUCAGCUUUAGAAUGCCUGAGGCUUCCAAUAGGUGGCUUCCUUUUCAUAGGAUUUCAAGCUUAUCUUUGCCCUCAUAGAGAGCAGUGCUAAUUCAAGUAUAGCUUCUUCUGUUGAUAAUAAAAAGUGAUCUUUUUACUAAGAUCGGCAAAAGCCUUGUCCUAAGACAAUAGGAACAUCACCUUGAACUCUGUUCUUUUUAACUAAAGAAUCUCUUCACCUUGAGGUCAGAAACUCUCAUCAGUUCCUAGGUCUUUAAGAUCUUCAUUAGAUAGUCAUGGAUAGAUGCCCCAUCACCUUAAGCAGAUGCGGCCGGAGUAGUAGGCUUGUGUAAAGACCAGAUACGACUGAAUUCCUCGGCUCUGACAAGUUGUUUAUUCCUAAUCUUGUGAUUUCUUGUUUAACCUCCUAAGUUGUUUUUGUAUACUCUUUUUAUCGCUGCUUCUCUCUUUUUCACCUCCUCUCUCUCCUUUUCUUCCUGUGUUAAAGGAGGGUUCAUUUCAUUCCAUUUCUAGAGCCAAGUUCUCUUUCUGUCUCUCCCCGACACACACCAUAAUGUCACUUCUUGCACUGGUCUCUAAGGUGUCCUUAGUGUUUGUUCUUCUGUGUCUACACAGAAUGCCCUGGUCUCGGAGCGAAUACAGCCCUUCCCAUGGCUCUACUGCCUCCCUAACUGUAGUUCCAUUUCCAUUGUUCUCAUGCAAGGUGAACUUGAAUUAGUGGGUGAUUUACGCCCAGUCUUUAAUUCUACUUUCUCUGUUCUCUUUCUAGAGUCCCGUAGCCUGGUUUGCACUCCUACCCAAAAUUCACUGAUGAUUUCCCAAUUUUCAAAUCCUGUGGCCGUUUCCUAGUCAUCACCUUCUUUAUUGUUUCUGAGGUAUCUGAUACUGUUAACCCUUCAGUGGAGCACUCUCUUAAUCUUUUUCCACCUUUCUUUCUGUCAUAUAGAACCCUCCUGAUUUUUUUCCUAUUCUUUUCCCACUCUAUCAAGAAGUUAUGUUGUCAGUCAUCUCUCACCUCUCUCUUCUUCCUCUCAUAUUUCUAGCAUAAAUCUCAUCCAUUUUUCAUGUUCUAGGUCUUGAAGCAAAACUUGGGUAUUAAAAAAAACAUUUUUCAUGCUCAAACUAUUAUCUAUGUAGGUAAUUCCCAAAUUGGUAAUUCUAGUCUUGAUGUAUGGCUUGAGUCCUAUUCCUGUAUUUCCAACAGCCUGAAGGCAUUUCUCCUUAAUGUCAUUCUCACAUCUAAAUUUCUUCUUGCCACUUAUCCAGAGCCAGCUUCAGCAUAUGUCUUCUGAAAACCAUUUCUCCCUGCAGCUUCCCUUUUCCAGGAGUGUUACUACCAUCCUCUGUCAUCUACAUUCAAAACCUUUUCUCCCUCUUCCUCGCUCCCAAGAUCCAGUCAAUCACUAAACCUGUGGCUUUUUUCUGUAAUGUCCGUCUUUAUAUCUUGUUCUUAGAUUCACCAACUAUUAACAUUUGGCCUACUUGCUUUUAUCUCUAUAUACGUAUAUGCUUUUUUUCCUGAACGAUUUUGAGAAUUAGUUGCAGACAUCAUAACUUUUCAUCCCUAAAUAUGUCAAUAAAUAUCUCCUAAGAACAAGGCUAUUCUUACAUAAUACAUUGUAUGUAAUUCUCUAAUGAUGCACAACACAAUUAACAUAGUUGGGAAAUUUAACAUUAAUAAAUAUUGUUUUCCAAUAUAUAGUUCAUAUUUAAGUUUCCCAAUUGUCCCAGAAAUGUCCUUUAGAUCUUUUUUUAAACCCCAGUUUCAGUUAUGAGUCAAACAUUGUCUUUAGUUAUCAUGUCUCUUGAUUGUUUCUGGCAGGUUUUCUAACCUUAUUCUCUCUUCCUUCUUGUUGACCCCACAUACUGAAAUUAGUUUUUCUAAUGUACUUCUUAGACUAGCCUUGACUCCUUGGGCAGACACAUUCAAGGCUCUCCACAAUUUGUCCCCAUCCUAUCUUGGCUUUACUUCCAUAACUACUUGCCAGACACUUUCUGCUCCAGCCACAGUAGACCACUCUUACUUAUUUUGUAAUUCCUGCCUCAACUCCCUGCCUGAAUUGUCUUUUCUUGUACUAAAUACUGCCUGUCAUUCAAGUGCAGCUCAAAUCCUACCACCCUAAAGCUUGCCCUCAUGGUUUAGCCUAUUGUGAUCUCUUUGAACCAGGUAUAGUAUUAUUUUUAUCCUUCUGUGACCUUAAUUUAUAUACCUUCCUAUGUUUUCCCUGCUUGAUUAGACUGCCUUAUCUUUGUAUUCCUCACUGAAUCUAGUGUGGUACCUUUUACUGACUGGGGUAGUCUUCAGGUGAGUGUCACUAAAGAAUUCCCAGGACUCUAGUCUCAUAAGGUUGCUCAUGAUUUAAACUGUUGGAGGCUGGAGUAGGGUCUGAUUUCAUAGUCUCUGUGGUAGCCAUCAGCUCUCCUGGCUGUGCCAUUUAGAGCCUAGGGCACUUGGUUCCCUUUUGCUUUCAGAAAUUCCUAAACAUAGCUCAACAUCAUGACUGAGCUGGGUGUUGGUGUUAAUUAUGGUAAAUUGAAUUUUGUUCAAAGAAAACUGUGUGGGUGACCUAACAUUCUGAUCUACCAGUAUCUAAUAGCAAAGCUGGAUUUAGAAUUCAAUUGGGCUUUCAAGAUUUGGUCAUCAGAGUCACAAUUCAAUGGCUAUGUCAAGGGAAUUUAUCCAGCGCUUUAUUUUUUUUUUUAAAUAGAUUUCAAUUUGCAGUGGACCCUCUCAAGAGAAUUGAAACAUAUGCUUCUGAAUGGUGCUGAACCCAAGAAAACCUCAUAGUAUGGAAUUUUAAAUCUCUGCUAAGCAUAGGCUGCUGAAAUGGAAAAAUGCUGAGGGUUCAAAAUUAACUCGUGAGCACUAAGAUGAAAGGAUGAUAAACAGUAAUAUUGGGUUUUGUUUGCCAGAUGUCCCUUCUGUGAACAGAGCUUGUGAUAACAAAGCUCAUGAAUACCUGCCACACCCUAUGACGUUGAAGCAGGUGUCCUGACUGCAGGUCUCCAGAAAUAGAGGGACAAGUGAGGGACAUACAGUUCGUGUUUUUGAUGAUGAAAGAGGAGCUAUUUGGUCUAGAAGAAUAAGAUAUUCUGUUUGAGUUUUAGUUCUUGUAAAAGGUAUGAGUUAACAUACCUGACUAUCCCUGGCUGCCUCUAUUUCUCUAUCUGGAUGUGCCUAAGAGAGAAGAAGAGAGCUGAGACCAGCCUUGUGUUCCAUUGCAUCUAUAAAGCCCUUCUUUACUGAUGCUUGAUAGGUAAGAAUUUUGUGGCAGAAUUUUUUUUUUUUGGCUUAAGUAAUAAGGAAAUUUAUUAUCUUACAUGCAGAAAGGCCAGUUGUAGGGCAGAGUUAAAGCGUGGUUAAGACAGACAGUUUUAUGUGCAGUUUCACUUUCUGUAGUUCCAGUUAUGCACAGUCAACCAUGGUCCAAAAAUAUUAAAUGGAAAAUUCUAGAAAUAAUACGUUUUAAAUUGCAUGCCAUUCUGAGCAGCAUGAUGAAAUGUUGCUCUGUCCUGCUCCAGGAUGGGAAUCAUCCCCUCAUCCAUUGUAUCCAUGCUAUGUACACUAGCUGCCCAUUGCUUACUUAGUAGCCAUCUUGACUGUCACGGUGUCACGGUGCUUGUGUUCAGGUAACCUUCAUUUUACUUCAUAAUGGGCCCAAAGUGCAAGAGUAAUGAUGCUGGCAUAUUGUCAUAAUUGUUUUUAUUAUUAUCGUUGUUAAUCUCUUACUGUGCCUAAUUUACAAAUUAGACUUUAUCUUAGGUAUGUGUGUAUAGGAAAAAAUAUCGCAUCCACUGGGGGUCUUAGGACAUAUCCUAGGCAGGUAAGGGGGGACUACUGUGCUUUCCAUAUGUUAUCUUCAAUUCUUAGUGUUGGCUGUAGAAUAUUUUUUUCAGAGGCCAAAAUCUUAUUGCCUCAGGGUAACAUAAAGACAGAGAUCGGCUGGUCAUGAUGGCUCAUGCCUGUCAUCCCAGCACUUUGGGAGGCCAAGGCGGACAGAUCACGAGGUCAGGAGAUCGAGACCAACCUGGCUAACAUGGGGAAACCCCGUCUCUACUAAAAAAUACAAAAAAUUAGCUGGGCGUGGUGGCAGGUGCUUGUAGUCCCAGCUAUUCUGGAGGCUGAGGCAGAAGAAUGGCAUGAACCCGGGAGGCGGAGCUUGCAGUGAGCCGAGAUCGCACCACUGCACUCCAGCCUGAGUGACAGAGCGAGACUCCAUCUCAAAAAAAAAAAAAAAAAAAGAAAUCAGCAAUAGUGAUUUCUUAAAUUUCUAAAAUCCCUGUAAUUUGUUUAGAAAAAAAAGAAAGAAGGGCUGGGCGUGGUGACUCACGCCUGUAAUCCUAGCACUUUGGGAGGUCAAGAUCACCUGAGGUCAGGAGUUCGAGACCAGCCUGGCCAACAUGGUGAAACUCCAUCUCUACUAAAAAUACAAAAAUUACCCAGAUGUGGCGGCGUGCACCUUUAAUCCCAGCUACUCGUGAGGCAGGAGAAUGGCUUGAACCUGGGAAGUGGAGGUUGCAGUGAGCCGAGUUCGUGCCACUGCACACCAGCCUGGGUGACAGAGCAGGACUCCAUCUCAAAAAAAAAAAAAAGAAAGAAAGGAAAGGAAGGAAGGAACGAAAGGAAAGAAGGAAGGAAAGGAAGGAAGGAAAGAAAGGAAGAAAGGAAAGAAAGAAAGAGAAAGAAAAAGGAAAGGAAAGAAAGAAAGAGAAAAAAAGAAAAGAGAAAAGGAAGGAAGGAGGGAAAGAAGGAAGGAAAGAAGUUAAGAAAGAAAGAGAAAAGAAAGAAAGAAAAGAAAAGAGAAAAGAAAGAACACUGGGCUGGUUGUGGAGGCUCACGACUGUAAUCCCCAGCACUUUGGGCAGCUGAGGCGAGAGGAUUGCUUGAGCCCAGGAGUUUGAGAACAGCCUGAGCAAUAAGUGAGACCCCAUCUCUUUAAGUAAAAAAGAAAAAGAAAAGAAAAACAAAAGCAAAGAUUGUUCCAGACUGUACUUAAUAUCUGCUGCCAUAUAUACACUCACUUUCCUUACUUGAACUUUGGACUGCCUCAGUGCACAAUCUCAUUGAUUACCUGCUGCUUCAAGUUUGGUGUGUUAGUCAUUCCUUAUUACUGGUUAGUAGAAUAACAGUGUACACAAAACAGCACAAUUUGACCUUUAGAGAUAUUCAUUUGAUAUCCAGCCUUUUUCAGUAAAACCUAGUGUUUGUCAAGGUUGUAGUCAGUAAGCAAAGCUUAUUACCCAUGGUAUUACUUGGAUAUGUUGCAGAUAAAACAAAUUGUAUUUUGCUUUGGUUGCUGAUUUAUAGGCACCCUGAAAGGCUGGAAUUGAGAUUCACUUUUACUGUUCUUGCUAUUAUUUCUUAUAUUGCAGAAGAGGAUUGGCCUACUCUAAGAUAAGAAGCAGAGUUUCUUUCUUUCUUUCUUUCUUUUUUUUUUUUUCUUUUUUUGAGACGGAGUUUCACUCUUGUUGCCCAGGUUGGAGUGCAAUGACGCGAUCUCAGCUCACUGCAACCUCCACCUCCUGGUUUCAAGCAAUUCUCCUGCCUCAUCCUCCUGCGUAGCUGGGAUUAUAGGCAUGCGCCACCACACCCAGCUAGUUUUGUAUUUUUUUUUUUUAGUAGAGAUGGAGUUUCUCUGUGUUGGUCAGGCUGGUCUCAAACUCCCAACCUCAGGUGAUCCGCCUGCCUCAGCCUCCCAAAGUGCUGGGAUUACAGGUGUGAGCCACCACAACCGGCAAAGCAGAAUUUCUUGAUUCCUAAGAACCCUUUUCCAGGCUUGGUUUUUGUAACAAUCAAGGUAGGCUAGGUAAUGCAUUACUCCAAAAUCCCAAUGGCUUACGACAACAAGGUUUAUUUUUCACUCGUGCUAUGUGGCUAUUGUGGUGUCUUUGCUCACUGUAGUUCCUCUGAGGUCCAGGCUGAUGGAAAUCUCCUCAACAUAUGCUUCUACCUGGGCAUGUGUGUGUGCCAGCUCUUGAAGUGACACAUCCACGUACACUCACAUUUCAGCAAUCAAAAUAAGUCACAUGCUCCCACCCAAGGGAUGGGGAAAUGAUCCUAUUAUGUGCCCAAGAGGGAGGAGAACCUGAACUAGUUGAAUAUUACCAAUGACGACCGUGGUUUUUUCAUGUAUUUUCUUAGAGGAAAAGCUGACAUUUGAUUUAUUAUCACUUUGUAGAAGGGAAGCUAGAAAUUUUAGUAACAGAAAAAUAGAGGAGUGCUCUGAUAAGAAGGAAACAUGGUUGAAUCUUAGGAAAGGUAUCCCACAUAGCAGCUUUUCAGUUUCUCUGAUUAUUUGGUAUUUAUAUCUUCUUUACUUCCCAAAUGAAUUUAAGAUGACUUAAAAUAAAAUUUCUUAACAGAAUAAAUAGUUUUUAUAUGUGGGAGGCAAGUACUUCCCGCCUCAGAGGCUUUCUGCAAAUCAUUUGUCUUCACCUUGGCUCUCUGACCUUGAUGAAGUACUGAUGUCUGUUGAGAGUGUUUUUGUCUUUUCUCUGAUUACCAAACAACCAUUUAUUAAGCAUUCACUAGGAAAAAGACACUGUGCUAAAUAAAUAAUUGUAUAGAGAUACAAAGAUAUAAAAGUCAGAUUUUCUACCUGUAAGAAGCUCAUAAGCUAGGCGUGGUGGCUCUCACGUGUAAUCUCAGCACUUUGAGAGGCCGAGGUGGAUGGAUCACUUGAGGUCAGGAGUUCAAGACCAGCCUGACCAACAUGGUGAAACCCCGUUUCUAUUCCACCGUGCCCAGCCCCAGCCCAGUUUUUACCUUUGAUGAAGCUUUCUCUGAACUUCGGUAUUGUAGUUCUCCAAACUGUUUGUCUUCUUGCUCAUGCUCUCAUGUUUUUAAUUCUAAUUGUUUCUAGUAGAUUGUAAACGCCUUUGGAAUAGUGUCAGUAUGUAAUACUUUGUUGGUUAUCCAAACAAUACAGGACAGUCAGAGGUGAUUAGUUGAUGUGAAAUAAAGAUGUGUCCCAAUUUUGUGGGUUUCUUUUUCUUUUCUUUUUUUUUUUUUGGACGGAGUCUCACUCUGUUGCCCAGGCUGGAGUGCAGUGGCAUGAUCUUGGCUCACUGCAACCUCCACCUCCUGGUUCAAGUGAUUUCCAGCUAAUUUUUGUAUUUUUAGUACAGACAGGGUUUUACCAUGUUGUCCAGGCUGGUAUCAAACUCCUGACCUCAAGUGAUCACCCGCCUCGGCCUCCCAAAGUGCAAGGAUUACAGACAUGAGCCACCAUGCCUGGCCUUCUUUUCUUUUUUUUGAGACAGGGUCUUGGUCUGUUGCCCAGCAUAUAGUGCAAUGGCACGAUCUCAGCUCAAUGCAACCUCUACUUCUCAGAGCCACUUCCACUUCAGCCUUCCAAAUAGCUGGGACUACAGGCAUGCACCACCAUGCCUGGGUAAUUUUUUUAUUUUUUGUAGAAAUGAGGUUUCUCCAUGUUGCCCAGGCUGGUCUUGGACUCCUGGGCUCAAGUGAUCCGCCCAUCUCAGCUUCCCAAAGUGUUGGAAUUACAGGCAUGAGCCAUUUUACCCAGCCUGUUUUUUUUUUAUUUUCAAGGCAUACUUUUCAGGUAUAUUAUCUAAUUAGCACAGCUAGAGGUCCUUUUUUUUUUUUUUUUUUUUUUUUUUUUUUAAUUUUGAGACAGAAGUCUUCCUCCGUUGCCCAGGCUGGAGUGCAGUGGCUCAAUCUUGGCUCACUGUAACCUCUGCCUCCCAGAUUUAAGCAAUUCUCAUGCCUCAGCCUCCUGAGUAGCUGGGACUACAGGCGCGCACCACCAUGCCCGGCUAAUUUUUUUUUUUUUUGAGAUGGAGUCUCACUCUGUCAUCCAGGCUGGAGUGCGGUGGCGCGAUCUCGGCUCACUGCAACCUCGGCCUCCUGGGUUCAAGCAAUUCUCCUGCCUCAGCCUUCCGAGUAGCUGGGAUUACAGGUGCACACCACCAUGCCCAGCUAAUUUUUUGUAUUUUUUUAGUAGAGAUGGGUUUGCACCGUCUUGGCCAGGCUGGUCUUGAACUCCUGACCUCAUGAUCUGCCCACUUUGGCCUCCCAAAGUGCUGGGAUUACAGGCGUGAGCCACUGCGCCUGGCCCUAAUUUUUGUAUUUUUUAGUAGAGACAGGGUUUCGCCAUGUUGGCCAACCUGGUCUCGAAUUCCUGACCUCUAGUGAUCCACCCGCCUCGGCCUCCCGAAGUGCUAGGAUUACAGGCGUGAGCCACUGCACCCAGCCAAGGCCCAUUUUUUAAAACCAGAUUCUAAUUAGACCUUGCCUUUGAAGGUUAUGACGUGCAUACUGACUAGUUUCAGGGUGGGCUCACUUUUCACUUUGCCUUUGCUCCCUUGGGAGAUAACCUCUGGGUGCACUCAGGAGGAACUAGGAACCCUGUGUUCCUCGAGUAGGAUUCUGCAUGAAGUGCCUUUGUGGGCUUCUGACUCUACCAGAUUCUAACUGUGUAAUUUAUGCAACCCUCUUAAAGACCUCUUUGUGCCUCAAUUUUCUUCAGUUGUAAAACAGGGAUGAUAUCACAUUUCACUGAUUCUUAGACUCACUUUUUAGGUACCAUUUAUAAUUUUAACAUCUCAAAUCAAGAUUUUUCUUAUAAUCAAUGGUAUGUCAUUUUUCUUUUUUAGUAACACAUAAAAUAGUAUGUUUUACAAUCAGUGAAGUCUUAGAUUUGAUAUAAUACAGUAAUAUCCACCAUUCAAUUAUUUGAGGAUUGGAAUUAGUGAAUAAUUGCUUAGUUCAAUAAAUGGUGAAUUUGUCUUUAUUUUUACUUUUUUCCUACUAGUCUCUCUGCCUCCUAUAUUGUGCUUUAAGACUAUCCUUUACACACCUUCCUAAUGAUAUAUUUAAAAAUGUAUUUUUUACUAACUCCCUUGCUGAUGUAUACCCCCAGCUGUAGUGAUUCUUAAGGAGGAGAGGGACAUGCCUCACUCCCCUCCACCACCUUCCUCAAAACCUUAUGAUAGUUCAGUGACACUGAGUGAUUGAGGGAAGUGUGUUAUUUAAGUGAAUUUUCAUGAAUUUUGUUUUAAAGUUGGGGACCACUGCCAAAAGGGUGAAGCUGCAGCCCCUUCUUAUGUACAAAGACCUCCAUGAGCAUGCCCAGCCUGCCUCUCUAGCCUCACCUCUUGCUUUGAACUUUACGCUCCAGUGAUACCGAACUAUUUUUGUAACUUGUGUUUAGGGAUGUUACAGCUUUGGAAGUCUUUGAUCCAGCAUGUAAAGGGUGAGCAGGUGGUGUGGGGUGCAGGGCUGUUCCAUGGGCAGUGAUUUAGAAGGAGAGGGAACUGUGGGGAUGGAGAUGGUCUCCUUAGAAACAGUUUUAUGGGAUCUAGGCAUGGCAUUUGGACUUUUUUUCUUUUUUUGUUUUACGGCCAAAUUGUGCUUCACUUAUCUGCCUGCCUAUGUGGUUGCCUUAGGCAGAGUGAUAGAAUCCCAGGGUAGAGGGCAGGGACUUAUUCUCUGUUGCUCCAGAGGACACAGGUAGGAUCGGGGGUGGAAAUUAUUUGAUGCUUGUUGUAGCUCAGUACAGUUAAACCCUCUCUGACAGUUGUUGCUGCUCAACAGCCCACUGAGCAGCUUGGAAACAGUAGUGAGUUCUCUUCAUGGAGGCGAAGGAUCUGUCACCAGAGUGAAGGAUCUAUACUGUUGCAGGAGCCAAAGAACAGAAUCCUGCACUGGGAAAGAGCCCUUUCCUAGGAAUUAAUGAAACCAGCUGUGCCAUGAAGGAGUAGAAAAAGCUAUCAGCCUGGGAGGCCAAGGCAGGCGGAUCACGAGGUCAGGAGAUCGAGACCAUCCUGGCUAACACGGUGAAAUCCCGUCUCUACUAAAAAAUACAAAAAAUUAGCCAGGUGUGGUGGUGGGCACCUGUAGUCCCAGCUACUCCGGAGGCUGAGGCAGGAGAAUGGCAUGAACCCGGGAGGCAGAGCCUGCAGUGAGUCAAGAUCACGCCACUGCACUCCAGCCUGGGCGACAGAGCGAGACUCCGUAUCAAAAAAAAAAGAAAAAGCUAUCAGCACUCAGCUUUUUAUAUAGUAGACUAGAUGUCUUGUCAGUGAUUAACAAUGCUUUUUCAAAACUUGAGUGUUGGAGUAUUGGCAUCCUCAUGUUUUAAUACAAGCACUGUGACCAUGCUCUUUUAUAUUUGAUUAGUGUUUUUGUCUUCUGUGUAUAACACAGUUAUUUUGAGAAAGACUCCACAGUGGGAGUGUGAGCCUCUGUCUUUUGUGGCACAACAGGCAUUUGCCCUCCAAUGCAAGGGACCUGGAGAGGGAUUGAUCUAGAUUAGAGGUUUCUAUGGAUUCGAUUAAGCUUGGGAUAUGGCGUGCAUUAAUGUGCUGCUAGUGUCUCAAAAGAUUUUACUUAUCCUCUCUGCCUGUGAAAUUUUCUGUUAGAUGGGAUCCUGCCAUCCCAAUACAGAGCUGCAUUUUAUUAUAGAAACAGUAUUUUUCAUAUUAAGUGUAGCAGCAGGGGUGCUCUCUGGUACCACAUUUUGGGUAGCUUUAUGGAUUUAAGUCUGCUUUCAUGAGCUGCUAGCCUUGAAAAUCUUACUUAUUACCUUUAUAGAAAAAUGCAUUGUAAAUUUAAAUACUUAAACUUUUGGAACAUGACCAAUUUAAGGUUUGGAGACUGUGUUUUUACUAGAGUAAAAGGUAAUUUAAAUACCUUGCUUAUGCCUUCUUGUUUAUUAUCUUCAGGUACCAUAUCAGUCUGUUUUUAAGUGAUCUCUGUUGACAUGGGAUUAGAUUCAGAACUUUCUUUGAUUUCAGUGAGAAACAACCAGGGAUGGAACCCUUGAAGAGCAUGGAAUCCUCUGUACUUCCAGAGGGUUGUUCCAACUGACUUGUCCCCACCCCUAGUAGUUCUAGAGCUAGGUUCCUGAGGCACAUCUGUAUCCUUGAAGAAACACUUUUAUUUUUCUUCUUAGAUUCAAUUCUGAUAUGAAACUAGCAGAAUCAUUUUAAUCUACUUUUUUUUUUUUUUGUAACAGGGUUUCGCCCUGUCUCCCAGGCUGGAGUGCAAUGGUGCAAUCACUGCGGUCUUGACUUCCAGGCUCAAGUGAUGCUCUUACCUUAGCCUACCGAGUAGCUGGAACUACAGGCUUGUGCCACUAUGCCCAGCUAGUUUUUAAACGUUUUUUUUUUUAGAGAGACAGAGGUCUCACUAUGUUGCCCAGGUCUUGAACUCCUGGGCUCAAGCAAUGCUCCCUCCUAGGCCUCCCAAAAUGCUGGGAUUACAGGCAUGAGCUGCUUUGCCUGGUCUUAAUCUACUUUUGUCUGCAGAGGUUAACUUUGUGUUGCAGACAGUAGGUAGGUCCAGUUAUAGAAGCAAGUACCUUCAAGGGAUGGAGGAUGAAGUGAUAGCAUCCUAGAAAAGAAAAAAUGAGGCCAGGCGAGGUGGCUCACUCAUCCCAGCACUUUGGGAGGCUGAGGUGGGCGGAUCACCUGAGGUCAGGAGUUUGAGACCAGCCUGGCCAACAUGGUGAAACCCCAUUUCUACUAAAAAAUACAAAAAUUAGCCAGGUGUGCCGGGCGCGGUUGCUCACACCUGUAAUCCCAGCGCUUUGGGAGGCUGAGGCGGGCGGAUCACGAGGUCAGGAGAUCAAGACCAUCCUGGCUAACACGGUGAAACCCUGUCUCUACUAAAAAUACAAAAAAUUAGCGGGGUGUGGUGGCACGCGCCUGUAGUCCCAGCUACUCGGGAGGCUGAGGCAGGAGAAUCGCUUGAACCCAGGAGGCGGAUGUUGCAGUGAGCCGAGAUCGCACCACUGCACUCCAGCCUGGGCCACAGAGCGAGACUCCGUCUCAAAAAAAAAAAAAAGAAAAAAAAAUUAGCCAGGUGUGGUGUCAUGUGGCCUGUAGUCCCAGCUACUGGGGAGGUUGAGGCUGUAGGAUCGCUUGAAUCUGGGAGGUGGAGGUUGCAAUGAGCUGAGAUUGUGCCACUGUAUUCCAUCCUGGGCAACAGAGUGAGACCAUGUCUCAAGAAAAAAAAAAAUAAAGAGACACAGAUGUCCAGAGGUGUUGGGGGAGAGUGGAGAGACUCGAUAACAGGUUAAAUUGUCUUUAGAGGAAUUGACAUUUUGACUACAGUACUCAUUCCUACUCUUGACUAUUUUCAGGGGUUCCAAGAGAAAAAUUUAAAUAGGACAGAGCUAAAAACACCGACUUUCACUCACUAAAAUGUGGUCAUAAAUUUAUGUAUCUUGAUCUUGGAAAACAUCAGUAUCUAUGUCUCAUUUUACCUUUUAAGAUUUCAGAUUUAUCACCUGAAGCAUUUUCUCUAUUGCCUUCCCCUUAUAUCAAGAUAUCCUGUUGGUUUAUUGGGGUUAUCCUAAUCUUUAUGUCAGAUGAAACUCAUCCUGGUUGUAAUUAUUUUUAGGUUAAAUUACCAUUGGAUUUGCCAAGUACUGAAAAAUCAGUGGCACUUUUGUUUAAACUCUGUUAAUAAACACUUCUAAAUGAA